CCAGGCCUAAGAAGAUGGCGUUGAGUGCUGGGUCGCCGCUCAGCGGUAGGUGCAACACUCAAGAUGGAUGCUUAGUGUUGAUGCCCAGGCAUUUCCAGUGACUUCACUGAAGAAGUCAGGGCUCAACGGUGAGGUAGCGCUCAGUGGUGGUUGCGAUACUCAAUUCCUCCCCUCAACGUUGGCGCUUGAGCGUUUGACAAAGAUCCAUUCAGCGAAGCUGGCGCUCAGCGCUGUCCCAACGCUCAACGAUGGUUGCGUUUCUUCAUUUGUUACU
rnacentral:lncRNA from 1 species